UACGUAGGGAGCAAGCGUUGUUCGGAUUUACUGGGCGUAAAGGGCGCGUAGGCGGCAAAUUAAGUCAGCUGUGAAAUCUCCGAGCUUAACUCGGAACGGUCAGCUGAUACUGAUCUGCUAGAGUGCGGAAGGGGCAAUCGGAAUUCUUGGUGUAGCGGUGAAAUGCGUAGAUAUCAAGAGAAACACCUGAGGUGAAGACGGGUUGCUGGGCCGACACUGACGCUGAGUGCGCGAAAGCCAGGGGAGCAAACGGG
rnacentral:rRNA from 1 species